UCCUACGGGACGCAGCAGUAGGGAAUUUUCGUCAAUGGGCGCAAGCCUGAACGAGCAAUGCCGCGUGAACGAGGAAGGUCUUCGGAUCGUAAAGUUCUGUUGAAGGGGAAAAAGAGCGGAGAGAGGAAAUGAACUCCGAUUGAUAUUACCCUUCGAGGAAGUCACGGCUAACUACGUGCCAGCAGCCGCGGUAAUACGUAGGUGGCGAGCGUUAUCCGGAAUGAUUGGGCGUAAAGGGUGCGUAGGCGGCCUGCUAAGUCUGGGGUGAAAGUAACGGGCUCAACCGGAACAGGUACUGGAAAAUG
rnacentral:rRNA from 1 species